UCAACAUCUGCUUUGAGACUUUGUGGAUGUGUUAUCAAGUGGAAGCCCAGUGUAGCAAACUUUCCGGCUGUGGUAACUAGUGACAACCCAACACAGUCGGGAAAUGUGAGACUGUGGAUGCCGAUAACAGUUAUGGACAAGAUUGAAGAUAACUCAAUUCCAUUUUUAGCAACAAUGUCUUCAGAACAGGAUUCCAGUUUUGAUGAACCGCAGACCGUCCAGGGGCACAAGCAGGGCUGCAGAAAGAAUUGGACAGGAAGACCUUGAAAGGCCUGCCCGACUGCAAGAAGACAGGCUGGCUGAGAUGUUUAGUAAAUAUCUUUCGCCUGUGGUACUGCUUUCAGUCAUUUCAUGUAGCUUUUCCCCCCUUAUCAUUACAGGCUAAAUUGCAAGAGCUGUCCGUUUGAAGAAAGGGUAGAGGUGCUGGAGUUGGCUGCUUCCCGUUUACCUGGACUGAUUUUUGACAUCAUGGAGUACUGGAGAGCUAUCCCAGGGUCUCCGGACAACCUUGCUGGUGCACCUGCAUGAAUUGCAGGGAGACUCCUACACCUCAUAACACACAACUGCUGCCAUUUCACCACUGCAAUAUUCCAUUUAUUUAGCUCAUAUCAGUUCAGUGCUUUAUCAGAAUGUUUCCUUUACACUGUGCUUUUCUUAUUUUGAGGAAGGUUACAGAGACAACUUGUAUAUCUCCCUAAUGAAACUGUUUGACCUGA